UGGGGUUUCUCCAGGUUGGUCAGGCAGGUCUUGAACUACUGACCACAGAUAAUCUGCCUGCCUCGGCCUCCCAAACUGCUAAGAUUACAGGUGUGAGCCACCGCACCUGGCCCCCCAUGGGCCUUUAAAUCAUCGGCCCAAGAUAGAGCCUGUUCCUGUGCAGGAUGGAAUUGCACGCGCUCCAUAAAAUCAGUCUCAUUUUAUUGUUUAUAUCUAAACUGUACAUGUGAUUCAUUUGACUGCUCAACUUUACUUACCCUCCUGGGCUCUAAGUAACUUUGAUUGUUCUAAAAAUCAUGCCUCUCCACAAAUGAUGGUCUUUAACCAUUCAAUGAUAUCCAAAAACUUUCCAGAAUAUGUCUUGGAUUCAUAAGAAAAAUCCCAAAAACAUUUGAACUGUGGUAGCAGCCCUAGACUAUCUGUAUAGUUUCUCAAAACAUUUCAAAGUAAACAAUAUGGGUUUAUUAAAAAUCAUGUCAUUUUAAAAUCCUAUCUUGAGAGCUCACAGGUACCUGGCUACCAUCCUGUAAGAACGAGACGAGGCUGAAAAGUUGCUGAGGAAACAGGGAAGGAAGUUUGAAGGUUAUUGCAAUUAGGGCUUGAUGAGAGAGAGAAAAAAGGUGGCAUUUCAGUAUUUAUUUAUUUAUAUUAUAUUUUAUUAUUAUUAUUUUUGAGACAGAGUCUUGUUCUGUCACCCAGGCUGGAGUGCAGUGAUAUGAUCUCGGCUCACCGCAAUCUCCGCCUCCCGAGUUCAAGCAAUUCUCCUGCCUCAGUCUCGUAACUUUCCAGCCUGAUGUACACUGGUCCCUCUCUCCUUAUCAGAGCCAAACACUGAAUCGUCAUUAUUCCACACCAAGCACCAUGGAAACCAGAAAGAUGACUUCAGGAGGAUUUUGCAUACCUCUAAAAACAAAAUUCCCCGCUUGAGGGCAUGCUAGGGCAUGUUUUUAAGUUAGUGGCCAAGCAAAUCAACACAAUGAGACUGUUUUUAUAAAACGAAACCUUGUCUCAUCCUUUCUGUAGCCUCCUCCAAACAGCCAGUCACAUAUCACGCUGUGGCAUCUACUUCCGCCCAUAACUUGUUUGCAAAAAAUGUUUGCCACUGAUUUAGCUAGAAAACUCAUCCCAUGUUCCUGGCUCAAAAGCUUCCCCAGUUUCUUUUAGAGGGAAAUGGCAUUUUGAGACCACAAUCUGGGCUGUAAAGAUGCGUAUUGCCACUGGGUUGAUCACUGUUUCAUGAAUAUAAUAUUCUCCAAGUUCUCACAAGUUGAAAACAGAUUGUCUAUGCCCUUCAUACUCAAAAUGCAGUUUUCCUGGAUAUAAAAUUCUUGGCUGUAAUUUUCUGUCCUUAAGUAUUUAAAAUGUUGACUCCAUUUUCUUCUAGCA
rnacentral:lncRNA from 13 species